rnacentral:tRNA from 1 species
GAGGGUAUAGCUUAGUGUUGGAGUGUAUGCUUAGCAUGCACAAGGUCCUGGGUUCGAUUCCCAGUACCACCG